ensembl:miRNA Mir7048 microRNA 7048
GGAUGCGGGGCUGAGAGGUGAGGAAGCCGAGAUAGCUUCUUCCAUUCUCUUUCCCCAG